ACGGUGGAGCAUGUGGUUUAAUUCGAAGCAACGCGAAGAACCUUACCUGGCCUUGACAUGGUAGGAACCCUUAAGAGAUUAGGGGUGCUAGCUUGCUAGAACCUACACACAGGUGCUGCACGGCUGUCGUCAGCUCGUGUCGUGAGAUGUUGGGUUAAGUCCCGCAACGAGCGCAACCCUCGUCCUUAGUUGCUAACAGUUCGGCUGAGCACUCUAGGGAGACUGCCUUCGCAAGGAGGAGGAAGGUGAGGACGCGUCAAGUCAUCAUGGCCCUUACGGCCAGGGCUACACACGUGCUACAAUGGGGCGUACAGAGAGCUGCGAUACCGCGAGGUGGAGCCAAUCUCUUAAAGCGUCUCUCAGUUCGGAUUGUUCUCUGCAACUCGAGAACAUGAAGCUGGAAUCACUAGUAAUCGCAGAUCAGCUAUGCUGCGGUGAAUACGUUCCCGGGUCUU
rnacentral:rRNA from 1 species